UCCGUUAUGGUGUAGUGGCUAACAUUAUCGCCUCUCAUUCUUUGUGAUAUAGUUGGUGCGCGAUAGCCCAUUCGAUUCCCUGUAACGGAA